UGAUAAGUAUCGGUAACUUAUUAUUAAAAUUAAAAUUUUAAGUUAAAAGAGCAAUGGCUGCAAAUGCCUUAAGUUAACUUCUGUGUUGAAUUUUUUAUUUUAUUUAAUUUUUUUUUAAUUACACCGGCACACGAAAAAAGUGAUUCGUACAUUUAACCAGACCGCCUACCGACAUGUACAUCGAACCGCUAAAUCCGAGUGUGAAGUCCGUUUGACUCUAAUCUGCCGGCACCCCAUUUUUUUAUAUAUUGCUGAGUCUCCACUAGGCAUUACAUACAUGACGAAUGUUGACCAUUAAAAAAUACCUUUACGUUCGUUGAAAUAGUCUUUGUCUCUUUCCACACGGCAUU